rnacentral:rRNA from 1 species
UGCGUAGGCGGAUUGUUAAGUCAGUGGUGAAAGUCUACGGCUCAACCGUAGAAGUGCCAUUGAUACUGGCAGUCUUGAGUACAGUAGAGGUAGGCGGGAUUUAUGGUGUAGCGGUGAAAUGCAUAGAUACCAUAAAGAACACCUAUAGCGAAGGCAGCUUACUAUGCUGUAACUGACGCUGAGGCACGAAAGCGUGGGGAGCGAACAGGAUUAGAUACCCUGGUAGUCC